rnacentral:rRNA from 1 species
UACCUUGUUACGACUUGCAUGUGUAAAGCAUGCCGCCAGCGUUCAAUCUGAGCCAGGAUCAAACUCUGCAGCGGCCGCGGAUCCGCGGCCGCUAGAGUUUGAGUCCUGGCUCAGAUUUGAACGCUGGCGGGAAUGCUUUACACAAUGCAAGUGGGCGGCAGCGCGGGGGCAACCCUGGCGGCGAGCGGCGAACGGGUGAGUAAUACAUCGGAACGUACCCAGUCGUGGGGGAUAGCCCGGUGAAAGGCAUUAAUACCGCAUACGCCCUGAGGGGGAAAGCGGGGGACCCCAAACGGCCUCGCGCGAUUGGAGCGGCCGAUGGCGGAUUAGCUGGUG